CCUCACAGACACUAUGUCGGGUUUUUAACCGAUGAGCCACAACGGGAACUCCCCAAAUAUGUCUAGAUCUUUGUCAGUUUAUAUAGAUCCUAGAGUCAUGUAGAUCUGGGCCAGCAUCUGGUCCAGAGAAGGGAAGGAUAGGUGGAAUUCAGAUUCUCUUCAGAUUAUUUCCAGAUCUGGCUAGACUACCUAAAGCGGAAGGAAGUAGGGGAAAAGGUUCAAAAACUUGUUCUAGAGGAGAUCUAUAAUAAAUCAAGGUCCUUACCAGAAAACAACUAACAGCAAUUAGCAAGACACUUAGGGGGCUGUGGACACUUCGAUGCAGCUGGCAAUUGGGCUUGUUUAGACUGUGGGAGACUCCUUACUGCCAAGUUUCUAAACCAUUUCAUUUAUUCCCACAAUAGUUUUUGCUAAUGACGUUUGGUUCUGCACUAUUACCUCUGCAGCAUCUCUUAGCUUACUCGCUUCUCAAAAAGGCGUUUCCGAAGGGCUUUUACAUUUCCUUCAACUGGUUUUUUCAGUGUACUUCCUAAAACCUUAUUUCAUUGUCCCUUUAAUUUGAAAAUGUAAAUACUAAACAGAUACUAUUUGGAUGAGGCAAUUUACAUGUAAAAUUCUUAGAUUGAAAUUGUUAAUUCAUAGGGAAUGGGGAAGAGAGGAAUCAAACAUUUUACCUUCUUGCAAAUUCAGUUUUAAAAAAGGGAAAAGGCUAUUUGAAGUAGACAUCCAGAGAAAGCCCCUGAGUUCAACCUGCUGGAGUCUGAGACGACCCUAGAAGAAGGUCACUGAGUGUUGGAAAACAGUCUCACCAGGGAAAGGUCGACACUUGCUUUUGUAGGGGGAACAGAGCUUUUCUGACAAAAGGUCAGAGGACUCUGGUAGAGGCAUUACCAGUUUUCAGCUGCUAAAGGUUUGCCUGAAGAGAGAAGGGGUAGCUAAGGGCAUAAGCCAAGACUGAAGUAAAUGUGGGUGAGUGUCAACAGAUGAACACAUUUCCCAGCGUCAUUCCGUCCAUCUGACACAAAAAUCUUCUGGGGCUCCUGGAGCUAGGAAACGUGAAUUCUCUGAAUGAAAUAGAAGUCUCUUUGGACCGUGAAUUUCCCUAUGAUAAAAUAGGGACCCUCAGAGUUGGAAAAAACCUUUAAGCUUUUAUGAUUCAUUCCACUUCUCCCUUCUUUUCUGUCUUCAAAUCUCUCAUCUAGUGUCUUGUAUUUUUUUAAUUUUUAGAAUUUCUCCUUGAGUUGUUUUUUUCAAUUCAUCUCCUCUCCUUCAGUUUUGGAAUCUGCUAGAUUUGGGUUUAAUCUUUGUCAUGAAUUGAAUGCUUAGCUCCUCAACCCAACCUUCAAUUCAUAUGUUAAAGCCCUAACUCCAGCUUAGGUAUAUUGGAGAUGGGGCCUCCAAGGAAGUAAUUAAGGUUAGCUGAGGUCAUAAGGGUAGAGUCUUGAUCCAAUAAGAUUAGUGUCCUUAUAAAAGGAGACACCAGAGAGCAAGUGCUCUCUCUCCCCAUCUCUGUCUGUGCCUCUGUCCUCACGGCUCCAGCACCCACACUGUGUGCACACACUGAGGAAAGGCUACGUGAGGCUAUAAUAAGAAAGCAGCCAUCUGUAAGCCAAGAAGAAAGCUCUUGCCAGAAACCAAAUUGGCUGAAACCUUAGGACUUCGUGCCUCCAAACUGUGAGAAAAUAAAUUUCUACUGUUUAAACCACUCAGCCUUGUCUUCUGUUAAGGCAUCCAAAGCUAACUGAUUGAAUCUUAUUUCUUGUAUCAUCUGUGAGAUGAAAGGCUCAAACUUUCUGAGCCACAGUUUUGUCAACUGUGAAACAGUCUAAUGACAUCAAAAACUCCAAAGGCAGUUGUAAAGAUUGAAUGGGGAAUAAAGUUGCUUGUACAUAACAGAAGCAUCAUAAAUUUUACCUUACCCUUCCCUUCCCUAUGGUUGGACAUGUCCAGAAAUGAGGGCCUACUAUACUCUCGGGCACUAAUUUCAUUUUUGCGCACUUCUGAUUUUUUAAAAUCCCUUUUCCUGAUUAUUUCAUUUGUGCUCUUAAAUCUCUUGGCACUGUGAGAAGGAGUGUUUGGGGAUUUCUUGUCUUGCAUUUUCUGAGCCAAUUGAAAAGUAGAGCUGUCAGACAGACACACCAGCUACAGUCAGAAAGCUGGAUUGGCAAAGGCAGCUUGAGAUGGCACCUACAUGGAUUUCCAAUGCUCAGUUGGACCUCCUACCUCCUAGGUCACACGUGCACUAGCAACUCUGUCCCCACAUGGAUUCAGAGGCGCAACAGGAACAGACCCAAGGUAGCCCCUCUGCAAGGAAAUCCAGAGGAAAGACAGAAGGGCAGAGCUGAGCAUGCUCAGUCCUCUCUCCCAGACUUACUGAUGAGAUAGUGAAAGUAGGAUAUGUUCUAUGUACCCAGGAUACCAUCCAUCAGAUCAUGGUUAUCUCACUUUGAAUUCAUCCUGGCUGGAGAGGCAGUGACCCAGAGAAAAGUAUGCGUGUAAACACACAGGCAGAUGUUGGAGAAUUUAUGACCCAGCAUUUGCACUGUCAAGGGUUCGGAGAAGAAAAGAGAAAAGGGAGAUUAUUAAUUUUUUCUUCAGGUAACAAUAUCAUUUAAUUUGACACAACGAACUUGCAUUAUUUUUGUAACAUUUUAGUCCCAUAAAAUAAAGAGAUGUGCAGAAAAGGGCAUCUUAUACGUUGGAAUUGUUGAUCCAAAUGAGAACUUCAGCACCAUUCCUGGGAGAUUAGGGAGGUAAAACAACUUUCUCAAUUCUCAUCCAAACAGAUACUGGAAUUAGAAUCCAAAACACUUGGUAAAAAAAAAAAAAAAUGUAUGAGGUUUUAUUAUUGUCUCCAACCAUCGUUUCCAUUUUCUCCAUCUUUUCUUUGUGUGAAUAAUGGCUGUUGGUUGAGCAUGUACUGAAUGCCUGGCACUGCGUUAGGCCUUGAAAGUAUUGCUUUGAACAUGGCAUUUGUGAGUGUUGGGCUCAUAGUUUCAGUCUAGCUUCAAUUCAGUCAUUAAUCUCUCAACUCUUGAAGGCAAGGUACACAAUAUGUAAACUAUGUUUUUCAGGUGCGUGAUUACUAGAAAAAGUUAAGUUUGAAACCACGCAAUUAUGGUUACAUGUUUGUCCAGUAUCUGGGUAUAAUUUUGCUGCUAUUGUUUCAUUCACUUGGAUGCAGUGUGACAUGUAAAAGUUAUUUCUACUUGAGGUGGUUACAUCAUCUCAUUUAGCAACAACUUCAUCUUGAAUUAUCCAUCUGUCAGCCACUUUCAGUGACCAAUACUGAGGACAGUGUUAGCCCUAAGUUAGAAAAAGGGGAAUAGGAAGUUGAAGAUUCUCAAGUUCAGCCCUUGUGGAGAUGUCCUCUCAAAGAGACGAAUGCUGCUAUAAUCCUCCAUUGAGGUAUUUUAGUUAUUUGUUAUAAUGAAACAAACAUUAUAGGAGAGAUAUAAACUCGAACUUUAUUAUGAUCCCACCACUUUAUAAGAUACUGAUUUCCUCAGAGCGUUAUUAGAAAUUUCAAGGAAAUGAAAGGCUUUCUCAGGUAAAAGAUGGGGAAAGUGAAGUGGAAUGACAGGAAUUGACUCGAACACUCUUACCUGAAAUAGGCUUAUAUUUGAGUUGGGUGGAUAAGUUUUUUUUGUUUUUUUUCUGGCUCUAUUUCUAAUUCGAUGCUAGAGUAAGAUAAAUUUCUGAACAGAUUUUUAAAAAGCCAAUUUCAUUUUAAAAUGCCUUAGUUUUCCAGUUGAAUACUUCUCCCCCAACAUGAGGUAAGACAAGGUAGUAAAUUACACAUUAUUUGAUAGGUCUUUGAACUUUCUAGCUGUAAUUUACUGUGAUGAAGCAGAAAAAUACAAAUCUGUACUUCACUGAUCAGAGGCUUUUAUGUGAUUAUCAGUCUAAAUUAAUAAUUUCCUUUUAUGGUGCAAAAGACACAUCAUGAUACUGUGUCACUCUGAUUAUUUUUUUGGCAUCAAUGAGGACUUCUGCUUUCUCAAAAACAGUCCUAUCAGUCAUUUCAAAAAAUGUGGCCUUAAAUGCAAUUCUGGACCUAAAAGCAGUUCUGCACAUCUGGCUUCUCUUCUCCUAGUGAAUUACAUCUUCCUAGGAUUUUUGUCAAGAUAUAUAUUUGAGAGUAAGCUUCAGGUGUGGUUGGCAGUAAGCGCCUAUGUCAGAGAAACAGGAGAAGCAAGAAGGUGGAGGAACAAUGAAGUGGUAAUGAAGAAAUAGGUCUCUCUGGAUCCAAUUAAUUAAUUAACUAAUUAAUUCCAUAAACAUUUAUUGAGUGCUUGCUACAAGACAGACACUGUACUAGGUGCUGAUAAUUUAAGAGCGAAUUAAUAAUACAAAUUCGCUCUUUAAUAAUACAAAUGAGGCUCAGACAAGACAGUCAUUAGUUUCAGAAGUAUUUAUUUGCCAAUAAUUGUGAUCCAUAGGAUCUUGAAAAUUACAAGGUAUUAGGAGAUCAUAUUAUAGAGGGAUCUAAUCUGGCCUGAGGAAUCGAAGAAGACUUCCUCCAGGGGGAUAUGGGGUUUAAACAAAAUUCCCAGAAGAUUAAAAGCAGUCAGUGAAAUGAGGGUAAGGAAAAAGAGGUCCAGACCAAGGGACUAGCAUGUCCAGAGGACUAGAGGCAGAACAUGAUGCAUUUGAGGGCGAAAAGGUAGAAGAUAACUCUCAGAUUUACAACUCCAUGUCUCCACCUUCCCAUGAAAUCACCUCUCAUCCAUCUUGUUGUCAAUGUAAUAUCUUCACCUGGAUGGCUAAUAGAGAGCUCAAGCUCACCAAGGAUAAAACAGAGCUCUUAACUCUUUUCUCCUAAAACUUCCUCUUCCUCCAGUGUUUGGCAUUUUAGCAUUGCCAUUUACUCAGCCCCUGAGACCCCCAAACUUUGGAUGUUUCGUUCUUCUUUUGCACUCAUGUCCAUGUUCACUCCAUUAUCAAAUUCUAUUGGAUGUGCAGGA